rnacentral:lncRNA from 1 species
CAUCAGAUGUGUGUUCGCCCCGAGUAGAGUGGUUUGGUGCAGAAUCUACUUGUUUGGUGCUUUCCUUCCUCAGUGGGUUGUUCCCCAAGAGAGUAGUUGAUGAUAUCCCCAAAUCAGAUGUGUGUUCGCCCCGAGUAGAGUGGUUUGGUGCAGAAUCUACUUGUUUGGUGCUUUCCUUCCUCAGUGGGUUGUUCCCCAAGAGAGUAGUUGAUGAUAUCCCCAGUAGAGUUGCUUGUGCAACCAAACUCUAUCCGGGUGACCUUUGCUCCCUCAGUGGGUUGUUCCCCAAUGGAGUUAUGUUGGAU